CGACGGUGCUGGUCGGCGCGGGCGUCGCCCUCGUCUGGCGGCAGGCGGACAACGCCCGCCGGGCCCGCUGGGUCGAGGCCGGCCGCCGCCGGC
rnacentral:tRNA from 2 species